rnacentral:lncRNA from 1 species
CAACUUCAAUAACCUCUUUAAAAAAUUCCAGUCCUGGCCACAGUACAGAAACUGCCCUGGUUAGGGUCACCAACGAUCUGCUGAUGACAGCUGACGCCGGAUCUCCAUCUCUCCUCAUCCUCCUUGAUCUAACUGCAGCAUUUGAUACCGUUGAUCAUGACAUCCUCCUCAACCGUCUUCACUCCACAAUCGGACUCUCUCACUCGGCCCUAAACUGGUUCACCUCAUAUCUCACUGGGAGGACUGAGCAUGUCACCUUGGGAGUGUCAAAAUCACAAACACACUCUGUCACCUGUGGUGUCCCUCAAGGAGGAGAUUAAGGUGCGGAUGAAGCACAAUUUCCUCAAAUUAAACAGCUCUAAAACCGAAGCCCUUCUAGUUGGCACCCCACACCAGGUCCAGUCCUCCUCCAUAACCUGCAUCACCUUCUCCGGUCAGAACAUUCCACUCUCAUCAACAGUCACCAAUCUGGGUGUUAAAAUGGAUCCUCACCUGACCUUUGAGGCCCACAUCAGACAAACAUGCAAGAACUCCUUCUACCACCUCAAACAUAUUGCCAAACUCCGCCUCACACUCUCUCUGUCAGAUGCUGAAAAGCUUGUCCAUGCAUUUGUCUCCUCCAGACUUGACUACUGCAACGCACUUCUCAUCGGGAUUCCUAGCAAAAACAUCCAGAAGCUGCAAUACAUCCAGAACAGCGUUGCUAGGAUCCUGAUGAGAGUGCGAAAGUACGAACACAUCACACCCAUCCUCAAAUCACUGCACUGGCUCCCGGUCUCACUCAGGAUUGAUUAUAAAAUCUCCCUUUACACCCAUCAGUGCAUUCACGGAAAUGCUCCAUCCUACCUCAGAGAACUGCUCACCCCACAAACCUCCACAAGAAACCUCCGUUCUGUAAAGGCUAACCUCCUCCUUCCCCCCAGGACCAAGCUCAAAACCAUGGGAGAUCGCGCCUUCUGCUCUGCCGUUCCCAGACUGUGGAAUGCUCUCCCUGAACAUCUGAGGACACCACAGACUGUGGAUGCUUUAAAACAGGCCUAAAAACGCAUCUUUUUAACAGAGCAUUUUGCUAGACUUUAACCAUUUUAAAGUGUUGUCUUGUCUAUCAAAUGUUUUUAUUUUAUUUUUUUAAAUGUAUAUUUUGCUGAUCGUUUUUACUCUGUAGCACUUUGAGUUUUGUU